rfam:Moraxella bovoculi 237 MBO_237Contig05, whole genome shotgun sequence.
CAUCGGUAACUUCGCAACUUUGUACUAUGAACCCCGCCAGGACCGGAAGGUAGCAACGGUAGUAGAUACAAAGUGUGCCGAAGAUGUGCUGAUGAAG